rnacentral:rRNA from 1 species
GAUGAACGCUGGCGGCGUGCCUAAUACAUGCAAGUCGAGCGAACGGACGAGAAGCUUGCUUCUCUGAUGUUAGCGGCGGACGGGUGAGUAACACGUGGAUAACCUACCUAUAAGACUGGGAUAACUUCGGGAAACCGGAGCUAAUACCGGAUCAUAUUUUGAACCUCAUGGUUCAAAAGUGAAAGACGGUCUUGCUGUCACUUAUAGAUGGAUCCGCGCUGCAUUAGCUAGUUGGUAAGGUAACGGCUUACCAAGGCAACGAUGCAUAGCCGACCUGAGAGGGUGAUCGGCCACACUGGAACUGAGACACGGUCCAGACUCCUACGGGAGGCAGCAGUAGGGAAUCUUCCGCAAUGGGCGAAAGCCUGACGGAGCAACGCCGCGUGAGUGAUGAAGGUCUUCGGAUCGUAAAACUCUGUUAUUAGGGAAGAACAUAUGUGUAAGUAACUGUGCACAUCUUGACGGUACCUAAUCAGAAAGCCACGGCUAACUACGUG